rnacentral:rRNA from 1 species
AGAUUGAACGCUGGCGGCAUGCCUUACACAUGCAAGUCGAACGGCAGCACGGGGGCAACCCUGGUGGCGAGUGGCGAACGGGUGAGUAAUGCAUCGGAACGUGCCCAGUAGUGGGGGAUAACUAGUCGAAAGAUUAGCUAAUACCGCAUACGACCUAUGGGUGAAAGCGGGGGAUUCGCAAGAACCUCGCGCUAUCGGAGCGGCCGAUGUCUGAUUAGCUAGUUGGCGGGUAAAAGCCCACCAAGGCUUCGAUCAGUAGCUGGUCUGAGAGGACGACCAGCCACACUGGGACUGAGACACGGCCCAGACUCCUACGGGAGGCAGCAGUGGGGAAUUUUGGACAAUGGGCGCAAGCCUGAUCCAGCCAUGCCGCGUGCGGGAAGAAGGCCUUCGGUUGUAAACCGCUUUUGGCAGGAACGAACGGCGCGAGCGAAUAUCUCGCGUUAAUGACGGUACCUGCAGAAUAAGCACCGGCUAACUACGUACCAGCAGCCGA